rnacentral:rRNA from 1 species
CCUACGGGUGGCUGCAGUGGGGAAUAUUGCACAAUGGGCGCAAGCCUGAUGCGGCCAUGCCGCGUGUGUGAAGAAGGCCUUCGGGUUGUAAAGCACUUUCAGCGGGGAGGAAGGCGUUAAGGUUAAUAACCUUGUCGAUUGACGUUACCCGCAGAAGAAGCACCGGCUAACUCCGUGCCAGCAGCCGCGGUAAUACGGAGGGUGCAAGCGUUAAUCGGAAUUACUGGGCGUAAAGCGCACGCAGGCGGUCUGUCAAGUCGGAUGUGAAAUCCCCGGGCUCAACCUGGGAACUGCAUUCGAAACUGGCAGGCUAGAGUCUUGUAGAGGGGGGUAGAAUGCCAGGUGUAGCGGUGAAAUGCGUAGAGAUCUGGAGGAAUACCGGUGGCGAAGGCGGCCCCCUGGACAAAGACUGACGCUCAGGUGCGAAAGCGUGGGGAGCAAACAGGAUUAGAUACCCCAGUAGUC